GACGAACGCUGGCGGCGUGCUUAACACAUGCAAGUCGAACGGAAAGGCCCUGCUUUUGUGGGGUGCUCGAGUGGCGAACGGGUGAGUAACACGUGAGUAACCUGCCCUUGACUUUGGGAUAACUUCAGGAAACUGGGGCUAAUACCGGAUAGGAGCUCCUGCUGCAUGGUGGGGGUUGGAAAGUUUCGGCGGUUGGGGAUGGACUCGCGGCUUAUCAGCUUGUUGGGGGGGUAGUGGCUUACCAAGUCUUUGACGGGUAGCCGGCCUGGGAGGGUGACCGGCCACAUUGGGACUGGGAUACGGCCCAGACUCCUACGGGAGGCAGCAGUGGGGAAUAUUGCACAAUGGGCGGAAGCCUGAUGCAGCAACGCCGCGUGCGGGAUGACGGCCUUCGGGUUGUAAACCGCUUUCGCCUGUGACGAAGCGUGAGUGACGGUAAUGGGUAAAGAAGCACCGGCUAACUACGUG
rnacentral:rRNA from 1 species